rnacentral:lncRNA from 1 species
GCCAGCUCCGGCCUGGAACGCCCUGGUAUCACGCAGCAGAUACUCAGUGGUCAGCAUCUCGCUGCACAGAACACGGGAAAGUGUAGCUCGGAGUAGGGCAAACGAAGACACUGCAGACAGGAGUGCGUGCGAAGGACCCGAAUAAGAUCCGGGAGGAGGACUAGGGUUGGAGUGCAGAAGCUGUGGUGAUGGAGAUGCGAGAGUUUGGGGCCUAGGGGAACUGUACUGGGCUGCAUGAGGUAAAGAAACCUGAGACUUGGAGUGUUUGUCGAUUGAAGCCGAGCUCCUGCCAGAAGCUAGCCUCCAUCCUUGAAACAGCCUGAGUGGCCUUAAAUGAAGUAGGGGCUUUGUGGACUUCCUGGCACCCUCCCUUACCCUCCCCGAACUCAAAAUUUGCUUUCGUGGAGAAACUCUGCCAUUAGUAAGAGUUGGCAGCUUCUGCGAGGGUAGGCUAUGGAGCAUCCAGCCCACAGAAAGGCCUCAGGUGUGCAAUUCCCAGGCCACAAUUCCAAGGAACCUGUGGUCCCUGUGUGUAGUUUUUCAGAGCUGCCCCUGGAAUAACUACACUAUGCUGGCUUGCAGAAUUUUGUGCUGUAAAAAGCCUCAGAGACUCCUGGCACCUGUUCUGACCACUGUCCUGCAGCAAACCCAUCUUCAGAGAAGAUAGCCCCCAAAAGACAGAGUUCCUAGAGGCAGGAGAAUUAUGUAGUCUAAGGCUGUUAAAUUGCCUACCAACCACUGCCUCCUUCCAUGCCUAGUUCCUGGUGUGUUGAUCAUGGACCUGUAGGGGCCUGGGACAGUGUCUCUGAGACUUUCCAGGUCCCUUUGGGAAGUUCUGUAAGGAAAGAGCCUGACAUAUGUCAUUCCAUGCAGGUUUGCUGUCUGUGAGUCAGAGAAAAGUGGGAGGAAGAGAGUCACAGCUGUCUUGGCUGAAGCCAAGGGCCUCCCUCAAGUCCAUAGAGCAAGGGGCUCAGAUUCAAAUCCAG